UACGGGGGGAGCAAGCGUUGUUCGGAUUUACUGGGCGUAAAGGGCGCGUAGGCGGCGCAACAAGUCACUUGUGAAAUCUCCGGGCUUAACCCGGAGCGGCCAAGUGAUACUGUCGUGCUAGAGUGCGGAAGGGGCUACUGGAAUUCUCGGUGUAGCGGUGAAAUGCGUAGAUAUCGAGAGGAACACCUGCGGCGAAGGCGGGUAGCUGGGCCGAGCACGUGACGCUGAGGCGCGAAAGCCAGGGGAGCGAACGGG
rnacentral:rRNA from 1 species